rnacentral:tRNA from 1 species
ACUUUCAAAGGAUAAUAGUAAUCCAUUGGUCUUAGGAACCAAAAAUCUUGGUGCAAAUCCAAGUA